AGUGAACGCUGGCGGUAGGCCUAACACAUGCAAGUCGAACGGCAGCACAGUAAGAGCUUGCUCUUACGGGUGGCGAGUGGCGGACGGGUGGGGAAUACAUCGGAAUCUACUUUUUCGUGGGGGAUAACGUAGGUAAACUUACGCUAAUACAGCAUACGACCUACGUGUGUAUUCAGUGGAUCUUCGGACCUUGCGCGAUUUAAUUAGCCGAUGUCGGAUUAGCUAGUUGGCGGGGUAAAGGCCCACCAAGGCGACGAUCCGUAGCUGGUCUGAGAGGAUGAUCAGCCACACUGGAACUGAGACACGGUCCAGACUCCUACGGGAGGCAGCAGUGGGGAAUAUUCGACAAUGGGCGAAAGCCUGAUCCAGCAAUACCGCGUGGGUGAAGAAGGCCUUCGGGUUGUAAAGCCCUUUUGUUGGGGAAGAAAAGCAGCAGGUUAAGAACGCGCUGUUCUGACGGUAACCAACGAAUAAGCACCGGCUAACUUCGUG
rnacentral:rRNA from 1 species